UCACGCGGUUGGGAAGAGAUGCGCGGUAGCCACCGUCAAACGGUAUUUCCACCAUGCGGACACAAUAGAUGUAAACCACCCAGCGAACAAAGAUAACAGUAAAAGGUAGCAAAUAAUUAGGAAGUGAUCAGUUGUAAGUAAUUCUUGCCUUUGUUUUUAAUAUAAUUUAUUAAAUUGUAAAUUUAAAUAUUUUAAUUUUUUUUUUUUUUUUUGAGACAGCGUCUCAAUCUGUCACCCAGGCUGCAGUGCAGUGGCAUGGUCACAGCUCACUGCAAUCUUGAACUGCUGGACUCAAGGGAUUCUCCCACCUCGCCCUUACCAGUAGCUGGGACUACAGGAUGACGUAGCACAAACGCCCUUGAUACAUGGGGGCCCCUCGACCUCAGACUUCCCAGCCUCCAGAAUGGCCAUGGCUUUGAAUGUGGCGUGUGGGAUCUCUGGCGGGUCAUCGUCACAGAGCUCUGCAAAGCAAAAGAAGCCUAUUAGGAACUCAAGAGGCCCCAGGAGUUCUGUAUGCAGCUGAAGGGUAACAUCCCUUGGGAGCUUUUGCCUUGUCUGGCUGACGCCUUGGCAAUCGCAAGUGACAGUGACGGAGAGCCACCUCCUCUGGAAUGCAUCAUGGAACAGAAAGGGAAAAGCCAGGCAUUUGUAGUCCUCCUGCCACAGAUGACCAGAAUGACCUCACCCAGGACAAACGGCGACAGAUUUAGGAAUUCAAGCCAGCUUUUCUGACUCCCAGGCACCUGCUCUCUCCUUUCGAGUGUUCGACUCCACUCUCAGUCACUCGUCACUCUUCCCAGAAGGACAAAUGUGCAGCUUCUAUGUCUUGGAUUUCAAAUAAAAGACGAGGAACUUGGUGAAAUGAGGUGGUCUUUGCCUUCCGCGUCACUCUCUGCUCCUCCUGGCAAGAGGCCCCAUUUUUCUUGCCACUGAGGUUAAGUGAAAACAAAACAAAACAAACAAACAAAAAAGAGGCCCCAUUCACAGUAAAGAUAAACAGCAGCCUGGGCAGGCCAGCGGCUCUUCCCUGACGUGGAAUUAUGAGCCCUCUUUCUUCGAUUUUGCCACAUACCCGCAGCUGCACUCCCAUAAUCUGAAAGCUGUCCCUUUAAUUUUUACCACUUCAUUAUUAGAAUUGGAGUAGAAUGAAAAUUAAUUUUUCCCUGAGCUAUUUUUGUGUCCCUUGAGUUAACCAGAAAUACCAACCCUGGAAAGAGAUGUGGGGGACAGUCAUUUUAGAGAGCGGACACCACUGCUGAAGAAGAAGGAUAUCCCGGUUGGCUGCUCUAGAGCCGGCAGGACGGAUGCUGAGGUUGUUCGCAGCAGCGUGUGUGCAGAGCCCCCGGGAUCUUGCAGACUGGGAUUUGUCAGGGCAGGUGUGGACAUUGAGGCUAUUUCUAACAAGCUCCUACAUGAUGCUGGGGCUGCAGAGCCCCAGGCCGCACUUGGAGUAUGAGAGUUUCCAGGGAGUGAAGCCCCGGCUGCUCUCUCUGCCCCCUCUCCAUCUGCCCCCUGGGUGAGGACAGGACUCCCAUCCCUCCAGUGCACAGUGAGUGCUGCUCAAUCUGCAUCCACAGCGGUUUGUGCCCAGAUGCUUCCUCACUCAGCGUCUAACAGGGUGCAGUGGAAACGUCAUUGACUGGAGGAAAGGUGUGUGGGUGAGAAACGUUUGUCGGUUGAGUAACUUUUUGUCGUUAUUUUUUUUCUCUGAUGUUCAAAGUAAGAGAAAACUCAUCUGGCCCCUGGAGCCCAUGUGAGCAACAUGAAAGAUAAAGGGAAAAGGGGGCUGAUAAAGAUGUGGACCGAGUCUGAGAUAAGAUUCUUUGCCCCUUGGGUGAAUCCAGGUGAAGUUGUUUUACUCUUAGCCCAGCCAGCCCUGGAUAAAGGCUUCAUCCCUCUUCUCUUUCCUGUCCAUAUAUCAGAACUUUAAGCUCUACUUGUACCCAGUGAAGAUUAGAAUAACGCACGGAGCACAGGAAAUGUCUAGGUGAUGAUUUCACUGAGCUUUACAAGGGACACAGGUACGCAUCAAGAGCUUGGGCCACUGGGUAAAGAGGGAUCUGGUUCUUGCUCUAACGCGGUUCAUCUUCUGUGUCAGAAUCAGAUAGAUUCUGGGUGUCAGAGACCCGAAUCUUCCUCUUGUUCCGCUCACUGCCCCCCUGUGGCCCCUUCUCAUUUCAAAUGCUCUGUCUGUAAUAUGAAAUGAAAAGAAUUCCUCCCAGACCCCUAGCCAAAUUUCACCUUAAGCUCGUUGACUCCCAGAGGAAAUCUCUGUGGGAGACUGGAAAGAGGACGCUGGAGCCAGAGGCUAUCUUUGAUAGUGAGGUGAGGUUUACUGUUUAAUAAGAACUCCAAAGAUAUGCCUAAUAUUGAAGGUUGUCUCUCGCUUCCUUGGGAAACCCAAACCAGAAGUUUAGGCCGUAUAGAAAGUAAGUGGUUUGGGUGCAAAAGGGAUGUAGAACAUCCCUUUUAAUGGUAUCAUAGAAUAUGAGAACUAGAAGAGAGCUCAAAGAUCAUUUAGGCCAACCUCUACAUUUUAUAGAUAAGAACACUGGGCCUGUGGUCAUUCCACAAGUUUGUGGCAAGCCUUGGAUUACAACAGAUCACCAGGUUCCCUGACUCCUAGUUCAGUGCUUUUCCAACACCCAGAAUCAUAAUCUUCAGGAAGGAGCGUGCUUUUCACCUAUCUGUUGAAGGUUAUCUCUUAC
rnacentral:lncRNA from 1 species